AUUGAACGCUAGCGGGAUGCUUUACACAUGCAAGUCGAACGAGUGGCGGACGGGUGAGUAAUGUAUCGGAACCUGCCCAGUAGCGGGGGAUAACUACUCGAACGGGUAGCUAAUACCGCAUACUAUUGGAUCUGCCGAGAUGGGAUUAGCUAGUUGGUGGGGUAAAGGCUCACCAAGGCAACGAUCCGUAGCUGGUAUGAGAGGAUGACCAGCCAAACUGGGACUGAGACACGGCCCAGACUCCUACGGGAGGCAGCAGUGGGGAAUUUUGGACAAUGGGGGAAAGCCUGAUCCAGCCAUCCCGCGUGUAUGAGAAGGCCUUCGGGUUGUAAAGUACUUUUGGCAGAGAGGCGGUAUCUGCAGAAUAAGCACCGGCUAACUACGUGCCAGCAGCCGCGGUAAUUC
rnacentral:rRNA from 1 species